CAACUUUCAGCAACGGAUCUCUUGGCUCUCGCUUCGAUGAAGAACGCAGCGAAAUGCGAUAAGUAAUGUGAAUUGCAGAAUUCAGUGAAUCAUCGAAUCUUUGAACGCACCUUGCGCUCCUUGGUAUUCCGAGGAGCAUGCCUGUUUGAGUGUCAUUA
rnacentral:rRNA from 1 species